AUGGUGCUUAUGAAGAACAGCGUGCAGGCUAUGUGCUUGGUGGCUCUUGUUAUCAUGUCUACCGCUUUAUUGCCCUCCCAUGUAGAUGGAAGAAUCAUGGAUACGAAGGAGAGGAGCCUCACAUCGUGCUUUUUUGGAAACGCUGCACAAUCGAUCUAUGCCGGCAAAAUUGUUCAGCACGUGGAUAUGCUAAGAGUGAAAGCACCUGUGAUUCAUACAAAGAUAAUAAAUACUGCUGCUGCGCGACGGAUUGAAGGAUACCGCUGUGAUGGAUACUACACAUCAUAUCGUCCUACAUCUAAUUAUUUCUUGCAAAUAGCAAAUAAUGACUACCGAUGA
rnacentral:rRNA from 1 species